AUUAUAUGACCAAAAAAAAAAAAAAGAAGUCGUCAAAUAUGCAAAUUACAAAAACAGAAUGUUACCUAUCUACAAAGAGAGGGCUGUAUUUGUACAAAAAGGAACAUAACCACUUAAUACACCUCCACAUUCCAUUGUCCUUCCUUUUUCAACUGCUUCUUGUAUGUUACCCAAUCAAUCCCUACCAAAAAACAUACACAAAAAAAAAAAUGAAUUACAAGAAACAAAGAACACAUAUUGAAUGAGGGUAUUUCAGUAAUUUACCAUCUUCAGCAGCCAAUGUACCCAUAAUGUCAUCAAUACCCUUCUCCAUACCCUUAAGCCCACACAUAUACACAAACGUGUUGUCUUUCUUGAGUAAUUCCCAUAGCUCUCUAUCAUAUUGAGCCAUUCUUGUUUGAAUGUACAUCUU
rnacentral:lncRNA from 1 species